AUUGAACGCUGGCGGCAGGCCUAACACAUGCACGUCGAGCGGAGCGGCGGACGGAUGAGUAAUGCCUAGGAAGCUGCCUGGUAGUGGGGGAUAACGUCCGGAUACGGGCGCUAAUACCGCAUAAUAUCAGAUGAGCCUCGGUCGGAUUAGCUAGUUGGUGGGGUAAAGGCCUACCAAGGCGCCGAGCCGUAACUGGUCUGAGAGGAUGAUCAGUCAACCGGGAAAUGAGACACGUUCCAGACUGCUACGGGAGGCAGGAGUGGGGAAUAUUGGACAAUGGGCGAAAGCCGGAUCCAGUCAUUCGGUGGGUGUGAAGAAGGUCUUCGGAUGGUAAAGCACUUUAAGUUGGGAGGCGUUAACAACAGAAUACGCACCGGCUAACGUCGUGCCAGCAGCCGGGGUAAUUC
rnacentral:rRNA from 1 species